rnacentral:rRNA from 1 species
UACGUAGGGUGCGAGCGUUGUCCGGAAUUAUUGGGCGUAAAGGGCUCGUAGGCGGCUUGUCGCGUUGUUCGUGAAAAUUUACCGCUCAACGGUGAACUUGCGGGCGAUACGGGCAGGCUAGAGUACUGCAGGGGAGACUGGAAUUCCUGGUGUAGCGGUGAAAUGCGCAGAUAUCAGGAGGAACACCGGUGGCGAAGGCGGGUCUCUGGGCAGUAACUGACGCUGAGGAGCGAAAGCGUGGGGAGCGAACAGG